UAAGACGUAGGAGGCGAGCGUUAUCCGGAAUUACUGGGCGUAAAGGGCGUGUAGGCGGCUCUUCAAGUCUUUGGUGAAAUCUCCCGGCUUAACUGGGAGGGUGCCAGGGAAACUGGAGGGAUUGAGGGCAGCAGAGGGGGGUGGAAUUCCCGGUGUAGUGGUGAUAUGCGUAGAUAUCGGGAGGAACACCAGUGGCGAAGGCGGCCCCCUGGGCUGUUCCUGACGCUGAGGCGCGAAAGCGUGGGGAGCAAACAGGAUUAGAUACCCUGGUAGUCCACGCCGCAAACGAUGGAUACUAGGUAUGGGGGGUAUCGACCCCCUCCGUGCCGAAGCUAACGCCAUAAGUAUCCCGCCUGGGGAGUACGGUCGCAAGACUA
rnacentral:rRNA from 1 species